rnacentral:rRNA from 1 species
CCUACGGGAGGCAGCAGUGAGGAAUAUUGGUCAAUGGGCGCUAGCCUGAACCAGCCAAGUAGCGUGAAGGAUGACUGCCCUAUGGGUUGUAAACUUCUUUUAUAUGGGAAUAAAGUGCAGUAUGUAUACUGCUUUGCAUGUACCUUAUGAAUAAGGAUCGGCUAACUCCGUGCCAGCAGCCGCGGUAAUACGGAGGAGCCGAGCGUUAUCCGGAUUUAUUGGGUUUAAAGGGAGCGUAGGCGGGUUGUUAAGUCAGUUGUGAAAGUUUGCGGCUCAACCGUAAAAUCGCAGUUGAUACUGGCAGCCUUGAGUACAGUAGAGGUAGGCGGAAUUCGUGGUGUAGCGGUGAAAUGCUUAGAUAUCACGAAGAACUCCGAUUGCGAAGGCAGCCUGCUGGACUGUAACUGACGCUGAUGCUCGAAAGUGUGGGUAUCAAACAGGAUUAGAUACCCGAGUAGUC